UCUGAAGCUUUAGCAGGCCCCGAGG
rnacentral:miRNA from 1 species